UUCACAACCACCACCGACCGACGGCUAGGCUACGAUAACCGUUUUCAUACAGCGACCCGUUUCCUGACACGAUUUCACUGACCACCGGCUGCUGCUGCCACAUCAACCACCGACAACAACAUUUUCGCCUGUUUUGCAGACCACUUUUGCUCUCCCUCCAAACGGACCGCAACGGAACACCGCAGAACGACAAUAUUUCGCACAGAAAUCUUUCUGUGAAUCGCUCGUUGUGUUAUUUAGCUGUCAAAAAAGGCGAGUUUCGGGUGGUGUGUGCCUGCAGAGGCAGCGGGGAUGGGCAUCGGAGACGACGUACGGCACCAGAAACAACAAAGCCAGCCAAUCGCUACUUCAGAACUGUCAGCACUGACAACGAGUUGUCUAUUUCGAACGCGGCAAAAUGCAGCAUCUACAAAGCCUACCCGCGAUCCGUCUAUGUACGGUACGCGCUAGCUCGAUUGACUGAAGGAAAAAACAAAAUGGCGUCUGUGCGUUCGCUUCAAGGCAACGCGCAAGUGUGUGCAUGCGUGCGCUAGUGUUCGUGCUAUGUGUCAGCUGUCUGUCAGCGGCGCAUUGCGUGCUUUUUGUUUUAUUUUUCUCUCCUCGCACGUCAUGUGAAACGACAACGAAUGAUACAAAUAUGUUUUGUUCUCCUUUUAAAGAACAAACAUGAAUUAAAUUAGCAAGCAGAUUAUGUUGUAAGUGUGUUGUUUCCAUUUGCUCGCGAAAAGAACAACGAUGAAACAUUUACCCCAGUGUUUUCUCCCCUACCCAUACUCGCACGUGCACACACACACACCCAUGCAUACACAAGCCGCACACAGCUGCGGUUUGAUGAAUGUGUGCUAUGCUGCAACAUGACAGCCACUGUCAAAAAGUUCUUCACUGAAACGUAAUUAUCUUCCGAAACUGCGACGCGUUUCUUCCUCCCGAAGCCAAUCUAAGCAGCAUAAUACAAAAUGGCUACCCCCGUCUCAUGUGGAAUUGUGGCGCAGCAUAAGCGUAGAUUUAAUUGAUUCGGUGACGUUGUGGAAAACCACUCCACAUUCAUGAAAACUUAUCUAAAUAAACAACUCCUAUCGAUUA